rnacentral:rRNA from 1 species
CUACGGGUUGCUGCAGUCAAGAAUCUUCCUCAAUGGCCGAAAGGCUGAAGGAGCGACGCCGCGUGCAUGAAGAAGCCUCUCGGGGUGUAAAGUGCUUUUAUCUGGGAAGAAACAAUGACGGUACCAGAUGAAUAAGGGGCUGCUAACUUCGUGCCAGCAGCAGCGGUAAUACGAAGGCCCCAAGCGUUAUCCGGAUUUAUUGGGCGUAAAGGGUCCGCAGGCGGUUUGUCACAUCUCCUGUUAAAUCCCAAGGCUUAACCUUGGGGCUGCGGGAGAGAUGGACAGACUAGAGGCCGGGAGAGGUAAGCGGAAUUGCUGGUGUAGGGGUUAAAUCCGUUAAUAUCAGCAGGAACACCAAAUGCGAAGGCAGCUUACUGGAACGGUUCUGACGCUCAGGGACGAAAGCGUGGGGAGCGAAAAGGAUUAGAUACCCGCGUAGUC